rnacentral:rRNA from 1 species
CCUACGGGUGGCAGCAGUGAGGAAUAUUGGUCAAUGGGCGAGAGCCUGAACCAGCCAAGUCGCGUGAGGGAGUACUGCCCUAUGGGUUGUAAACCUCUUUUGUCGGGGAGCAAAAGCCGGACGUGUCCGGCUUUGAGAGUACCCGAAGAAAAAGCAUCGGCUAACUCCGUGCCAGCAGCCGCGGUAAUACGGAGGUUGCGGGCGUUAUCCGGAUUUAUGGGGUUUAAGGGGUGCGCGGGCGGAUGUUUAAGUCAGCGGGCAAAUCGUGGGGCUAAACCCCAAACAGGCGUUGAAACUGGUGAUCUAGAGUGUGCGAGAGGUAGGCGGAAUGCGUGGUGGAGCGGUGAAAUGCAUAGAUAUGACGAAGAACCCCGAUUGCGAAGGCAGCAUCCCGGUGCACAACUGACGCUCAGGCACGAAAGCGUGGGUAUCGAACAGGAUUAGAUACCCUAGUAGUC